rnacentral:rRNA from 1 species
GACGAACGCUGGCGGCGUGCUUAACACAUGCAAGUCGAACGGAAAGGCCCUGCUUCUGUGUGGUGCUCGAGUGGCGAACGGGUGAGUAACAAGUGAGUAACCUGCCCUUGACUUUGGGAUAACUUCAGGAAACUGGGGCUAAUACCGGAUAGUAGCGUCUGCUGCAUGGUGGGGGGGGGAAAGGUUCGGCGGUUGGGGAGGGACUCGCGGCUGAUCAGCUUGUUGGUGGGGUAGUGGCUUACCAAGGCUUUGACGGGUAGCCGGCCUGUGAGAGUGACCGGCCACAUUGGGACUGAGAUACGGCCAAGACUCGUACGGGAGGCAGCAGUGGGGAAUAUUGCACGAUGGGCGGCAGCCUGAUGCAGCAACGCCGCGUGCGGGAUGACUGCCUUCGGGUUGUAAAACGCUUUCGCCUGUGACGACGCGUGAGUGACGGUAAUGGGUAAAGAAGCACCGGCUCACUCCGUG